rnacentral:rRNA from 1 species
CAGGCCUAACACAUGCAAGUCGAACGAGACCUUCGGGUCUAGUGGCGCACGGGUGCGUAACGCGUGGGAAUCUGCCCUUGGGUUCGGAAUAACUCGCCGAAAGGCGUGCUAAUACCGGAUAAUGACGUAAGUCCAAAGAUUUAUCGCCCAAGGAUGAGCCCGCGUAGGAUUAGCUAGUUGGUGAGGUAAGAGCUCACCAAGGCGACGAUCAGUAGCUGGUCUGAGAGGAUGAUCAGCCACAUUGGGACUGAGACACGGCCCAAACUCCUACGGGAGGCAGCAGUGGGGAAUAUUGGACAAUGGGCGAAAGCCUGAUCCAGCCAUGCCGCGUGAGUGAUGAAGGCCCUAGGGUUGUAAAGCUCUUUUACCUGGGAAGAUAAAGACGGUACCAGGAGAAUAAGCCCCGGCUAACUUCGUGCCAGCAGCCUCGGUAAU